rnacentral:rRNA from 1 species
ACCUAAUAGAUACCCUGGUAGUCCACGCCCUAAACGAUGCGAACUGGAUGUUGGGUACAUUACGGUACUCAGUGUCGAAAGCUAAACGCGUUAAGUUCGCCGCCUGGGGAGUACGGUCGCAAGACUGAAACUCAAAGGAAUUGACGGGGGCCCGCACAAGCGGUGGAGUAUGUGGUUUAAUUCGAUGCAACGCGAAGAACCUUACCUGGCCUUGACAUCUGUCGAAUCCUGCAGAGAUGCGGGAGUGCCGCAAGGAACGACAAGACAGGUGCUGCAUGGCUGUCGUCAGCUCGUGUCGUGAGAUGUUGGGUUAAGUCCCGCAACGAGCGCAACCCGUUGUCCCUAGUUGCCAGCACAUCAUGGUGGGAACUCUAGGGAGACUGCCGGUGACAAACCGGAGGAAGGUGGGGAUGACGUCAAGUCCUCAUGGCCCUUACGGCCAGGG